rnacentral:rRNA from 1 species
AACGUAGGAGGCGAGCGUUAUCCGGAUUCACUGGGCGUAAAGCGCGUGCAGGCGGUUCGGUAAGUUGGGCGUGAAAUCUCCUGGCUUAACUAGGAGAGGUGGUCCAAUACUACCGGGCUAGAGAGUGGUAGAGGAAGAUGGAAUUCCCGGUGUAGUGGUGAAAUGCGUAGAUAUCGGGAGGAACACAAGUGGCGAAAGCGAUCUUCUGGACCAUUUCUGACGCUCAGACGCGAAGGCUAGGGUAGUAUCCAGG